rnacentral:rRNA from 1 species
AUGAACGCUGGCGGCGUGCCUAACACAUGCAAGUCGAACGGUGAUGAUUGAAAUUUCGGAUGGAUUUCAUCAUAGUGGCGGACGGGUGAGUAACGCGUGGAUAACCUGCCUCGUACUGGGGAAUAGCAGCUGGAAACGGCUGGUAAUACCGCAUAAGCGCACGAUGCCGCAUGGCACUGUGUGAAAAGAUUUAUCGGUACGAGAUGGAUCCGCGUCUGAUUAGCCAGUUGGCGGGGUAACGGCCCACCAAAGCGACGAUCAGUAGCCGGCCUGAGAGGGUGAACGGCCACAUUGGGACUGAGACACGGCCCAGACUCCUACGGGAGGCAGCAGUGGGGAAUAUUGCACAAUGGGCGAAAGCCUGAUGCAGCGACGCCGCCGUGAGUGAAGAAGUAUUUCGGUAUGUAAAGCUCUAUCAGCAGGGAAGAAAGGCCCGCAAGGGAGAUGACGGUACCUGACUAAGAAGCCCCGGCUAACUACGUGCCAGCCGCUGC